rnacentral:misc_RNA from 1 species
GCAGUAUUUAAUGUUCUCGUAUAAUGAUCAAGUUCAGGAUAUCACAACACCAAAUCUUUUUAUUAUUAGAAGAAAAAAAAUGCAGAUUACUGCUGCUACUACUCCCCUUGCCCGGUACUCUGUUGACACCAAACACCUCUGUCACAUGCCAUCUACCAUCCUCCCACAACUAAGCAAAGGUAUUCAUCCUGCAACAAGGGCACUGUGAGGUGCUCUCCAACCAUGGCACAACACAAUUCCAGUGAAAUCGGUGAGCACAAGGUAGAUGCACGAGUAUGUCACCAGUCUUCAACUCUUCGAGGCAGACGACACACUCAUCGUCCUGCUCCCCCGACUUCCACCCCAGCUUGCUCCAGCUGAACUUCCUCGACCGCCUGUUGGAGCAGAACACCUCUCUUUGAAUAUUACCGAGAAUCACUGAACCCUCACUACCUCCUCUCUGAUCAACUGGCCUCAUGCUUCCAGUACUAUUAUUCCUCUUGAUCUCUAAACCUCUCUCGGAUCUCAGCCUCUCGUCCAACCUCUCCUUGGCCGCACGAGCGAUGUUACCCAGUGCUCCGCCAUGAAAACCUUUGUUGGGAGGAUUUCUCUGCAUCACGGAUUUUGCAGUAAACUGUGAUUGAUGGGUUGUGGUAGUGUUAUACAACCCAAAUGACGACCGUCGAGACCCGCCGGCUGAAUCGAUGGAUCCGCCAUGAAACCGGCGGCGACGGGCGGUUUCAACCCCGGGGAGCAUACCAGCCAUGGCUGCAGCGGCUCUGGUCCCUAUUUAGGGAAUUUCAACAUGUUGAGAGAGGGGAAGAGAAUUCAUGGAGAGGAUAUGGUUUUAUCUACCAUCCACCAACUGGAAUGGAAGGAAACUUAUGUGAGGAGAGAAAGG